rnacentral:lncRNA from 1 species
AUGUUUUGCUCCAAUUCCUGCUGGCAUCACAUGGCAUUCUUCUGGAUUAUUUUGAAUUCAGCCGCCUGUGCUAUUGGAUGCCUUGAGAUGAUUCCAUUCUGCCCUCAUUUUUGUCGGUUUGAACUACUAAGAAGACUGUCUUCCCUGUGACUUCACUGAACUCCACUGGGCUUAUAUGAAGAUGCAAAAACAGAUACAAACCUUGAAAUAUGCGGCAAUAUUUGAUUACAUGUUGGUGUUCCAGAUGAUCCCCAAAUAUGCUUUUUAUUGCUCAUCUUCCUUUUAAAAAUGAAACACAAGCUCAGAAAUGUGAACUAAUGUUUCAAGGUGGCAUAACUACUAAGCAGCAGAACCAUAAUUUGAACUUAGGUAUUUUGGCUGCAGUUACUGUGCUUUCCCCAUAGUAUCAGUGUUUUCCAAGGUGGUAUGCAUACUACCAGUAAUAUAUCCAAUAAUCUUAGAUGGUAAGUGGGCAAACAUUUUAACAGUUUUCUAGUUAAAUGUAUGUUAGAAAAUAUAAUGAAUUAUACAUCAAAACUUUGCUUUCUCAGAUUUUUGCAUAGGACAGGGCUAACAUAGACAGUGCCAUAAAAAUUCAUCCUGGACAUGUAAAACACAGGGUACACUCAGUUAAGUAUAUGGAUAUUUUCAAAUUCCAGCAACUGAACUUUCUGUUAUAUAAAUUAUUGAUGUUAGAGAUGAUAUACAUCAGUUAUAUAGCUUCUCGAGUGCUUGCAUCCUUUUCGGCAAAAUAUUAAAGUCUUUCUUCCAUAAACUCUCAGUUACUUGCAAGAUCAGUAAGACUUCUUUCUCAUACAUAACCUAAUGUAAAUACAGAGAAGUCUUUCCCACCAGAGAAUCGUAUGAAUAUUUAAUAAAUCUGCUAAAAUUGUCAAUCGCAUUAAGAGCAGCCCAAUACAUUUUUGACUUUUUCCCUCAAGAUAGGUGGUGACCACAGAUGACAUUUGUUUUACAGUGAAGUUUAGUGACCUUUGCAAAAGGUUGUCUCUUGUCUGUUCAAGUUGCAAGAACUUCAGGGUUUCCAGAAGGAACUCAUCACU